GUGCUCCCUUGGGCAGCACAUAUCCUAAAAUUGGAACAGUGCAGAGAUUAGCAUGGCCAUUGGGCAAGGUGACACACAAAUUCAUGAAGCAUUCUAUUUUUUU
rnacentral:snRNA from 1 species